AAGUCGUGGUGUGGGCAAUGGUUAGUGUAGCUUCUAAACCGUUCCCAAGCUUCACUAAAGCUCUCGUUAUUGUGCUGCGUGAAACUUGAGAUCUGAUUCCUGAGCUU
rfam:Eutrema salsugineum unplaced genomic scaffold scaffold_6, whole genome shotgun sequence.